rnacentral:lncRNA from 1 species
GGAAAGUGGAAAGUGGGUAUGUCAGAAAAAACUAGCAUUCAACUUUUGGGUGAUCAACAUCAGGGUUGAAGCUCCAACAGUGAAACUGGAAAGGUUGAAGAGAGACGACGAUCCACGUUAGGUGUCUUGCUGGUUCACUGUGGAUUGAAAUUCAGAUACUUAUAUUAUAUUGUUCAUACAUAGAUAUGCAUAUAUAUGGCAAAACUUAAAACGUUCGAUCAACAAGAAAA